rnacentral:rRNA from 1 species
GACGAACGCUGGCGGCGUGCUUAACACAUGCAAGUCGAACGGAAAGGCCCUGCUUUUGUGGGGUGCUCGAGUGGCGAACGGGUGAGUAACACGUGAGUAACCUGCCCUUGACUUUGGGAUAACUUCAGGAAACUGGGGCUAAUACCGGAUAGGAGCUCCUGCUGCAUGGUGGGGGUUGGAAAGUUUCGGCGGUUGGGGAUGGACUCGCGGCUUAUCAGCUUGUUGGUGGGGUAGUGGCUUACCAAGGCUUUGACGGGUAGCCGGCCUGAGAGGGUGACCGGCCACAUUGGGACUGAGAUACGGCCCAGACUGCUACGGGAGGCAGCAGUGGGGAAUAUUGCACAAUGGGCGGAAGCCUGAUGCAGCAACGCCGCGUGCGGGAUGACGGCCUUCGGGUUGUAAACCGCUUUCGCCUGUGACGAAACGUGAGUGACGGUAAUGGGUAAAGAAGCACCGGCUAACUACGUG